rnacentral:rRNA from 1 species
UGCAGUCGAGCGACAGAAGGGAGCUUGCUCCCGGAUGUUAGCGGCGGACGGGUGAGUAACACGUGGGUAACCUGCCUGUAAGACUGGGAUAACUCCGGGAAACCGGAGCUAAUACCGGAUAGUUCCUUGAACCGCAUGGUUCAAGGAUGAAAGACGGUUUCGGCUGUCACUUACAGAUGGACCCGCGGCGCAUUAGCUAGUUGGUGGGGUAAUGGCUCACCAAGGCGACGAUGCGUACCCGACCUGAGAGGGUGAUCGGCCACACUGGGACUGAGACACGGCCCAGACUCCUACGGGAGGCAGCAGUAGGGAAUCUUCCGCAAUGGACGAAAGUCUGACGGAGCAACGCCGCGUGAGUGAUGAAGGUUUUCGGAUCGUAAAGCUCUGUUGUUAGGGAAAAACAAGUGCGAGAGUAACUGCUCGCACCUUGACGGUACCUAACCAGAAAGCCACGGCUAACUACGUGCCAGCAGCCGCGGUAAUACGUAGGUGGCAAGCGUUGUCCGGAAUUAUUGGGCGUAAAGGGCUCGCAGGCGGUUUCUUAAGUCUGAUGUGAAACCCCCCGGCUCAACCGGGGAGGGUCAUUGGAAACUGGGAAACUUGAGUGCAGAAGAGGAGAGUGAAACUCCACGUGUAGCGGUGAAUGCGUAGAGAUGUGGAGGAACACCAGUGGCGAAGGCGACUCUCUGGUCUGUAACUGACGCUGAGGAGCGAAAGCGUGGGGAGCGAACAGGAUUAGAUACCCUGCUA